GGGAAAUCUGUUGGUAUUUUUUAACUCUUGAAGCCGUUUCCUCGAUUGAAAUUAAUUGGUGAAAUGCUAUUGGACCGUUAAAAUUGCAAACGUAAAAGGUGAUUGAGAGGUGCAUAUCAAUUAUUUCAUAAUGAGAACGAAAUAAACCGAUUUUUAAUCGACGUCUAAUCAGAGCUCAAAAUUACAUACUUGGGAAAAUAACUCACCUUUAGGAUUCAAUUUUUCAGGGUUGAACCAUGUAUCUGGAAAAAUAAGAAAGAAUUAUAUCCGAAAUAAUAUGAAUAUUCUUUCAAUGAAAUAUACAGGGGGUGGCACAGCUCAUUAUGAAAACUCAAAAUGGCAACACCCCAAGAGAUUUCGGAUGCCUCUACAGAUGGCCCGAAAGAAAGUGGGAUUUUUCGAAAAAUUUCGAUUUGAAUGACAUGCCCUUUCUAUUGGAUACUCUACUGGUCUUUACUUUGGAAACAUUUUGGGCCUAAAAUUAAUUUUAAAAACUAUUCACUACUUCUUUUUUUGUCAAUAGAUUCUACUUGUCUCCAAACAGAAACUUUUGACGUGGAAAUAUAAUUUUCUCUUAUUCUCA